AGAAGAAGAAGAAGAAGAAGAAGAAGAAGAUGAAGGAGAAGGAGAAGAAGAACUUCUUCUCCUUCUCCUUCUUCUUCUUCUUCUUCUUCUUCUUCU
rnacentral:pre_miRNA from 1 species